rnacentral:rRNA from 1 species
UAUGCCUACGGGAGGCAGCAGUGGGGAAUAUUGGGCAAUGGACGCAAGUCUGACCCAGCAACGCCGCGUGAAGGAAGAAGGCUUUCGGGUUGUAAACUUCUUUUAAGGGGGAAGAGCAGAAGACGGUACCCCUUGAAUAAGCCACGGCUAACUACGUGCCAGCAGCCGCGGUAAAACGUAGGGUGCAAGCGUUGUCCGGAAUUACUGGGUGUAAAGGGAGCGCAGGCGGAUUGACAAGUUGGGAGUGAAAACUACGGGCUCAACCCGUAACCUGCUUUCAAAACUGUCGGUCUUGAGUGGUGUAG